ACUAUUUUGGCAGAUUAGUGCUAUAAAUUUAGAAUUUAUAUAUGUAUAUUUACAAAUAGUA
rnacentral:tRNA from 1 species